UACGAAGGGUGCAAGCGUUACUCGGAAUUACUGGGCGUAAAGCGUGCGUAGGUGGUUCGUUAAGUCUGAUGUGAAAGCCCUGGGCUCAACCUGGGAAUGGCAUUGGAAACUGGCGACCUAGAGUGCGGUAGAGGGUAGUGGAAUUCCCGGUGUAGCAGUGAAAUGCGUAGAGAUCGGGAGGAACAUCCGUGGCGAAGGCGGUUGCCUGGAGCUUUGCUGACGCUGAGGCGCGAAAGCGUGGGGAGCGAUCCGG
rnacentral:rRNA from 1 species